rnacentral:lncRNA from 1 species
GCUAUGGUUGACAAUGGCUAGAGACAUAGUGGCAUAGCUGAUGGUCAUUCAUCCUGGCAAUCAGCAACGAUGAUCAAUGUCAGAAAAUCAAAGAAAAAUAACAAAAAACAUAGGGAAAAACUAGGGGCUUCAUAUUUCUCAAAAAUUUCUAGUAUUUGCGAGCUCAAGGCUUUAAGUGUUGAGGAAGCUAGGGAAAAGAUCCACCAU